GCUAAAAUGUAAAAAAAAUCAUUCACAAACACCAGAAACAUUAAACGUUCUUGGAGUUUAAAAAUGAAUGUGAAGACGAUAAAACAAAACUGGUACAAUCUGUUCCCUAAAUGUCAACAAAUCUGCACAGAUUCACCAUACUUCUAAAAGUUAACAUUCACUGUAUAUAAUCUUGUCAAUAAAGAACAAAUUUAUUUCAAUAAAUACUAC
rnacentral:lncRNA from 1 species